rnacentral:rRNA from 1 species
AUUGAACGCUGGCGGCAUGCCUUACACAUGCAAGUCGAACGGCAGCACGGGGCAACCUGGUGGCGAGUGGCGAACGGGUGAGUAAUGCAUCGGAACGUACCUUUCAGUGGGGGAUAACGUAGCGAAAGUUACGCUAAUACCGCAUAUUCUGUGAGCAGGAAAGCAGGGGAUCGCAAGACCUUGCGCUGAUUGAGCGGCCGAUGUCAGAUUAGCUAGUUGGUGAGGUAAAGGCUCACCAAGGCGACGAUCUGUAGCGGGUCUGAGAGGAUGAUCCGCCAGACUGGAAAUGGGACACGGGCCAGACGCCUACGGGAGGCAGUAGGGGGGAAUUUUGGACAAUGGGGGCAACCCUGAUCCAGCCAUGCCGCGUGAGUGAAGAAGGCCUUCGGGUUGUAAAGCUCUUUCGGCCGGGAAGAAAUCGCACGGGCUAAUACCCUGUGUGGAUGACGGUACCGGAAUAAGAAGCACCGGCUAACUACGUGCCAGCAGCCGCCGCCGUAA